AGUGGAGAAGAUGACGCCAGCGAA
rnacentral:siRNA from 1 species